CCUACGGGUGGGCAGCAGUGAGGAAGAUUGGGCAAUGGGCGAGAGCCUGAACCAGCCAAGGCGCGUGAAGGAUGAAGGAUCGAUGGUUUUGAAACUUAUUUUAGAGGGGAAGAAAGUGAGGAACGGGUUCCUUUUGGUAUGUACCAGAUGAAGAAGCAGCGGCUAACUCCGUGCCAGCAGCCGCGGUAAUACGGAGGAUGCGAGCGUUAUCCGGAUUUAUUGGGUUUAAAGGGUGCGUAGGUGGUUAAUUAAGUCAGCGGUGAAAGUUUGGGGCUCAACCAGAAAAUUGCCGUUUAAACUGGUUGACUUGAGUAUAUUUUCGGUAGGCGGCAUGCGUUGUGUAGCGG
rnacentral:rRNA from 1 species